GAUGAACGCUGGCGGCGUGCCUAAUACAUGCAAGUCGAGCGAACGGACGAGAAGCUUGCUUCUCUGAUGUUAGCGGCGGACGGGUGAGUAACACGUGGAUAACCUACCUAUAAGACUGGGAUAACUUCGGGAAACCGGAGCUAAUACCGGAUAAUAUUUUGAACCGCAUGGUUCAAAAGUAAAAGACGGUCUUGCUGUCACUUAUAGAUGGAUCCGCGCUGCAUUAGCUAGUUGGUAAGGUAACGGCUUACCAAGGCAACGAUGCAUAGCCGACCUGAGAGGGUGAUCAGCCACACUGGAACUGAGACACGGUCCAGACUCCUACGGGAGGCAGCAGUAGGGAAUCUUCCGCAAUGGGCGAAAGCCUGACGGAGCAACGCCGCGUGAGUGAUGAAGGUCUUUGGAUCGUAAAACUCUGUUAUUAGGGAAGAACAUAUGUGUAAGUAACUGUGCACAUCUUGACGGUACCUAAUCAGAAAGCCACGGCUAACUACGUG
rnacentral:rRNA from 1 species